AGAAUUCAAGUGGAAUGAAAAAGAUUAAAUGGUCUUGAACAUCUCUUUAUAAAACUGAGAGUUCCAGUUAUUUCCUGAGGCUAUUCAUGAUGGGCUAGGAUGUAGCUACGUUGGGGAGACCCAAAGUCCUGAAAGAAAGCUUUAAUCUACUCUUUGGCCACGUAUCCAGUGUCCACAGGAUGAUUUUGCCUGGACUGCUUCUUCCUUUUCUUUCUCCAUCUGUAAACAGCACUUAGCAGUGAAGGAUAACUGCCUGACCAUCAGCAAUGAAGAGCACACAGCAUGGAGCAGCAGGCUGCGCUGAACGACCUCCAGAAGUCCCCUCCACCCUCAAAUAUUUUUAUGACUGCACAGAUCAGCAGUGCCACCUUCCCCAGCUGAUUGGUCUGAGCUGAAGACGGACCUCCCUCAAGUCAGCCCAAAAGGAGUAACACAUCCCAGUGACAUG